CAGUCGCCACGGUAAUACGUAUGUCACAAGCGUUAUCCGGAUUUAUUGGGCGUAAAGCGCGUCUAGGUGGUUAUGUAAGUCUGAUGUGAAAAUGCAGGGCUCAACUCUGUAUUGCGUUGGAAACUGUGUAACUAGAGUACUGGAGAGGUAAGCGGAACUACAAGUGUAGAGGUGAAAUUCGUAGAUAUUUGUAGGAAUGCCGAUGGGGAAGCCAGCUUACUGGACAGAUACUGACGCUAAAGCGCGAAAGCGUGGGUAGCAAACAGGAUUAGAUACCCCCGUAGUCCCUGUCUCUUAUACA
rnacentral:rRNA from 1 species